rnacentral:rRNA from 1 species
AUUGAUGGUGCUUGCACCUGAUUGAUUUUGGUCGCCAACGAGUGGCGGACGGGUGAGUAACACGUAGGUAACCUGCCCAGAAGCGGGGGACAACAUUUGGAAACAGAUGCUAAUACCGCAUAACAACGUUGUUCGCAUGAACAACGCUUAAAAGAUGGCUUCUCGCUAUCACUUCUGGAUGGACCUGCGGUGCAUUAGCUUGUUGGUGGGGUAAUGGCCUACCAAGGCGAUGAUGCAUAGCCGAGUUGAGAGACUGAUCGGCCACAAUGGGACUGAGACACGGCCCAUACUCCUACGGGAGGCAGCAGUAGGGAAUCUUCCACAAUGGGCGCAAGCCUGAUGGAGCAACACCGCGUGAGUGAAGAAGGGUUUCGGCUCGUAAAGCUCUGUUGUUAAAGAAGAACACGUAUGAGAGUAACUGUUCAUACGUUGACGGUAUUUAACCAGAAAGUCACGGCUAACUACGUGCCAGCAGCCGCGGUAAUACGUAGGUGGCAAGC